rnacentral:rRNA from 1 species
CUACGGAGGGUCCGAGCGUUAUCCGGAAUCAUUGGGUUUAAAGGGUCCGUAGGCGGGCGAUUAAGUCAGAGGUGAAGUCCCACAGCUCAACUGUGGAACUGCCUUUGAUACUGGUUGUCUUGAGUUACAGUGAAGUAGAUAGAAUGUGUAGUGUAGCGGUGAAAUGCAUAGAUAUUACACAGAAUACCGAUUGCGAAGGCAGUCUACUAACUGUAUACUGACGCUAAUGGACGAAAGCGUGGGGAGCGAACAGGAUUAGAAACCCCGGUAGUCC